rnacentral:lncRNA from 1 species
AGCUUCGAACUGCCCAAUCGUCAUUUGAGACAGGUAAAUUGCUUUCAUACCUCCAGAACCAUCAGAAGUACCUUUUUACCUAGGUAUACUGGAGAUCAAAAUGACUUGGAGUGCCAAAAAAUCCCGGGCGAAGUUAACCUUUUGAGAGUUUAGAAUAUUAAACAGAAAUGACGUGUGCGUGAGAGACAGGGUGGUGUAUGUCUCUCUCUUCUCUAGCCAAAUAUACUGUAUGAACUCUAGAACGGGUGUUUCUAACCAUCUACAGGACUCACUGAAAUCUGGCAUUAACUUUGUGGCUUAUCUAUGUAUGAUCCUUCUUUGCCUCAUCUUGAUAACAUGAGUGCCUAUAUCUUUUGCAGCUCUGGAAACUCUAGUAGAAGUAGCAAAUAAACGGGCAGACCUGCUUAAUGCUUAUGAUCAGGUGCGAGAAAAGAUGGAGAGCACCACCAAAUGACCAAAGGUAGUACUUCUCUUGGUUUCCCUGGUUCCUUAAUCCGUGGGUGUUUGUUUUCUUUUCUUUUUGGGGUUCUGAAAAAUAAUCAGUAAUGAGUGCACAUUAAGUUCAAGUACACCUUAUUCUUGUUGUAUUUUUGUAAGAUAACAUGUUUUCUUAUGUGCCUUUACCAGAAGCCCUGUCUGGAGACCUCGCCUCCUUCCGACCUUGCUCAGUAGCCUGCAUUCUUCGCCAGGGGGGAUUAAAUCGAAUAAAUGCAAAUAGGGUCCCACCUAAAUAGGAAAAACAAAAAGGAGAAAAAGAAAGAUGAGGAACAGACUCAAAGGUCUGGAGAUGGUGGCAUUGGUGAAACAGAGAGAUGAUGGCAUUAUCUGAACUGAUCUAUUUUUAGAACAAGUCUCUUCAUGCCUGCUGUCCUUGCCGCAAGUUUGUAUUUCUGCUUAGCUGUAAGAUUCUCUGGUGUACAGUUCUUGCACAUUUCAUAUGGCUUUUUCCACAGUGCAGGGAUUUAAUUUGUGCAAUUAACUCAAAACUUAUGAGCUAUGGUCCUUCUGGGGGGUGCAUAUUCAAUGGCUGACUAAAUGAAUCAAGUCUUAUCAUGUUAAGUAUUGAUAUCUAGAAAGAAUUUUAUUGCGAUGGAAUGUUUAAGAAUUCCGUUUUGAGAUGUCAUCUAAGCAGCAUACUUACUGUAUUAAGAUGCCAAGUAUUACCAUUGGAUCUUAUGACAAUCCAUUUGCUACUUGAAGCUUUG